GCUGGGCGUGGUGGCUCAUGCCUGUAAUUCCAGCACUUUGGGAGGCCAAGGUGGGAGGAUCACUUGAGCCCAGGAGUUCAAGACCAGCCUGGGCUAUGUUGCUAUGUUACCCAGGCUGGUCUUGAACUCCUGGGCUCAAGUGAUCCUCCCACUUU
rnacentral:sRNA from 1 species